ACACCGGCGGCCCGAGUGGUAGCCGUUAUUAUUGGGUUUAAAGGGUCCGUAGCCGGCCUAUUAAGUCUCUUGGGAAAUCUGGCGACUCAAUCGUCAGGCGUUCAAGAGAUACUGUUAGGCUUGGGACCGGGAGAGGUGGGAGGUACUCCAGGGGUAGGGGUGAAAUCUCGUAAUCCUUGGGGGACCACCGAUGGCGAAGGCAUCCCACCAGAACGGGUCCGACGGUGAGGGACGAAAGCUGGGGGCACGAACCGGAUUAGAUACCCGGGUAGUCCCAGCUGUAAACGAUGCUCGCUAGGUGUCAGGUGCGGUGCGACCGCAUCUGGUGCCGUAGUGAAAACUUGAAGCGAGUCACCUGGGAAGUACGGUCGCAAGGCUGAA
rnacentral:rRNA from 1 species